rnacentral:lncRNA from 1 species
GGGAUGGGAUGACCUGAGGUCCACAGCGACAGGUGCAGGGGAAACAGCUUGGGGUGUCAUUUGUAGGGCAGCUGCAGUGCUUUUGAGGUGAUAUCUUGGGAGGAGACCCUUCCCAGAGAGAAGGGGGCCUUGGCUCAGGGCCAGCGAGGCUCUUGACAUGCAUGACAGACAAGAAGAGCAGCGCGUGCCCGUCAGAGGCACAGACAGGGUCCUGUUCCAGGGAGGACGUGAGUGAUCGGAGAGAGGUCUUUGGGAUAAAGCAAGGAUCGGGAGCUCAAGGGAGGACACAGGCCACCUUCGGGGGAGGGACGGCGCCGCUGGCUGGGGGCUCCUGUCCUGGCUGACAGUUCUGGGCUGGCGUGGGGAGGAGCCAGGGCCAAGCUACUCAGUCUCUCUCCGUUUUCCCUGUGCUGGGCGCUGUCCUGACUUACAGGCCAGACCAGGGCAUGUCAUGCAGGGGCUUCCGAUAUUCCUGAGCCUUUCUGCUCCUCGGUGGCUCCUGAGCGGAUCCUCUAAGACUUGGCCUCUGUCUUUAUCCUAAAUCCCUAUUUCCCCUGCCCCCCCAACUUUGCUCCCUUGAUCUUAAAGAGUUGGUGGGGUGAGGGUCCCCCUUCCACGGAGGCUUCAGGCUGACGAGGGGCAGUGACCCUGCCUUGGGAGGGACCAAGGGUCUCAUCCUGUCUGGCUGUUCAUGAAAUGGGAGCCAGGUGGGCGUCAACUGCGGUCACCCCGUGCGAGGGGACACUAGAACUCACCGUGGUUGGUGCCGGACUUCCCUCCAUCUCCCUGCCCGCCUUCCCAGCGUCCAGUAACCACAGUUCUCCAUUUACACGGACUUCUCCUGGAGCAUCCAAGACGGAGGAUUCGCAUCCUGGCGAAGCGCUACAGAUAGAAGCUGUUCAGCUCAUGGCAGUCAGCCCAGGAGCAGAGACAGACAGACAGAGGAAGGGCCAGAGACCACGUCCUCAGGGCACGCCCAGCAUGACCUACGGACUCCCCUCUGGCCCACGGAGGGUCGGAAAGCUUCCACCUACCUGUACCCACCAGGCUGCGAACCCGUCAAGGGACCAAUCUACUGGUGAGGCUGGAGCCCUCCUCAUCCGGGGACCUGCCAAAGCCCCACCUCUGAACGCUGCUGCCCUGGGGACCAAGCCUUCAGCACAUGAACUUCUGGGGACACUGAAGAUCCAAACCACAACAACCCGGGAGACC